GUUUGAUCAUGGCUCAGAGUUAACGUUGGCGGCGUGCCUAACACAUGCAAGUCGAACGCGCUGUAGCAAUACGGUGAGUGGCGAACGGGUGAGUAACACGUGGGUAAUCUUCCUUCAAGUGGGGAAUAAGCUCUCGAAAGGGAGUCUAAUACCGCAUGACGUUCCGGGACAUAAGUCCCGUAAUUAAAGCCGCAAGGCGCUUGAAGAUGAGCCUGCGUCCUAUUAGCUAGUUGGUAGGGUAACGGCCUACCAAGGCUGAGAUGGGUAGCCGGCCUGAGAGGGUGAACGGCCACACUGGAACUGAGACACGGUCCAGACUCCUACGGGAGGCAGCAGUGAGGAAUUUUGCGCAAUGGGGGAAACCCUGACGCAGCGACGCCGCGUGGAGGACGAAGGCCUUCGGGUCGUAAACUCCUGUCAGAGGUGAAGAAUACCCGCAAGGGUUUGACGGUAACCUCAGAGGAAGCCCCGGCUAACUACGUGCCAGCAGCCGCGGUAAUACGUAGGGGGCAAACGUUACUCGGAAUUACUGGGCGUAAAGGGUGCGUAGGCGGCUGGGAAAGUCAAGGAUGAAAUCCCGUGGCUUAACUGCGGAACUGUCCUUGAAACUUCCCAGCUUGAGGAUAAUCGAAGAGAACGGAAUUCCCGGUGGAGCGGUGAAAUGCGUAGAUAUCGGGAGGAACACCUGAGGCGAAAGCGGUUCUCUAGACUACUCCUGACGCUGAGGCACGAAAGCUAGGGGAGCAAACGGGAUUAGAUACCCCGGUAGUCCUAGCCAUCAACGAUGGAUACUGGAUAUUCCUGCACUCAUGUGGGAGUGUCGAAGCUAACGCGUUAAGUAUCCCGCCUGGGGAGUACGGUCGCAAGAUUGAAACUUAAA
rnacentral:rRNA from 1 species